ACAUGAUGAGAUUUUUCAUAUUGGUCAAAUGUUUUAUAUUUUUUCCUUAUCUUGAUCUCCUGUCUUUUCCUUAGUGAUAUGAGCUCUUUCAUUGUUAAACAUGUGACUUUGGUGAGCAAAAAGAUCAUUGAUUUUCAUAGAAAAUCAUUUAUAUUUUUUUAAGUUUCUCAUUCAAAUGCCAGAUCGAAAAUUUUAAAAGCUUAUACAAAACCCUUUUUGGUCUUGCAUUCUUUGUAAAAAUUCACUGUAUUCUUCGGAAGAUUAAGAUUUGUAGCUUUGAAGAAAGUUCAACAGCUUCAAAUCAAAAAGGCAUGCAUUCUACAAGAACAGGGAUCAUUUACGUGUCCCGCUACUAGAUGGGCCGAACUAUGGUGUUAUAGUUUGACCCAAAAUUUUAAUGGAUUCUAGAAUUUUGGUUGAAAUGGUUCUGAAGAAAUCAAAAUUAUGGAUCAGGAAGAAAAAUUGUCGCAUUUUCGUUAGCCUACUAGCUGACCGCUCGAGCGAUGCCUGCAUAUUUUCUACCGAGACUUGUCACUCGCCUGGCACUCAAGCAGUGGAACUAUCGCCCAACUACCACUAGCCUAUCGCUUAAGCGAUAGGGUUAUCCAGUCAAGCCCAUUUCACCUUUUGAUGAGUUUUUUGGAAUCAUAUUCUUUCAUCUACAACUUGAUUUCUAGAAAUUAUAUAUACAAGUCAUAGCCUGUAUUGUUUCGAGAACAUUCAGGAAGCUUAAAUUUCAAAUGAGAAUAUCGAGGUCUUGAUAUUAUAAAUACAAUUACUAUUGAUUAUAGUGAAUUCUCCUCAUAUGCAUGUGAUUUUUUCCUAGCUUGAGUUUUCAAUAAAUCUUAGUGUUCUUA